UACGGAGGGGGCUAGCGUUGUUCGGAAUUACUGGGCGUAAAGCGCACGUAGGCGGCUUUCUAAGUCAGGGGUGAAAUCCUGGAGCUCAACUCCAGAACUGCCUUUGAUACUGGAAAGCUUGAGUCCGGGAGAGGUGAGUGGAACUGCGAGUGUAGAGGUGAAAUUCGUAGAUAUUCGCAAGAACACCAGUGGCGAAGGCGGCUCACUGGCCCGGUACUGACGCUGAGGUGCGAAAGCGUGGGGAGCAAACAGG
rnacentral:rRNA from 1 species